rnacentral:lncRNA from 1 species
UCUUUUUUUUUUUGUUUCAGAACUGUUUUGAAAUUACUGUUACUCUGGAUAAAGUCCCAUUACUCUUGUCAAGAAUCCAAAAUUUAUAUCUGUGUCUAUGGGAAGACAUGCAAUAGAUGGCUCAAGUUCUCCAGGGCCAGACCCAUCACAUGGCUGCCCCUGUAGGGGUGUCACUGCUGGUACACUCCCUCAAAGAGCGUGUUUGCUUUGCCCCUGUUGCAUCUGGUUGUAACCUGGAUUGUAAAUUAUCUGAAGUAAGAGGCCAUCCGCUUGGUUCUCUGCUUUCAUGCCAUGGUUUCUGA